rnacentral:lncRNA from 1 species
GGGGAAAGGGAAUGGGAGGAGACCACAAAAUUCGUGACAUGAUACAUAAAACGUUAACUAUCUAUUAGCUUUGCAUCUUUUGAGAGUCACCAGAUUGGAGCACAGAAUUUUGAAUUUGGCUGGCAGAUGGUGUACACAGACUUUCUGAGUGUGUUAGCAUUUCAUUUCAAACUAGCAAGAUUACAUAGGACUCUCACGGUAAUUUAACAUUCAUAGAGAUUUUUAAAUUUAUCCCUAAACCUAGGUUAAAUCUGGGACCCAAAUAGCGUUUUAGAAGGCUUUGUUAAUAGAUCUGGAUCUCAUAGAACAGAUUCACAGGAUAUAGUAAUUCCUCCAAAAUGCCCACGGAGUUAGCGUCAAUGGUUUCUUUCUCUGAAAAUCCGGAUUACCCAAAAGAAAAGAGGCCCAAGGGAAGAAAGACUAAACCAGGGGAGAUGGCAGGUAGUGAUGUCUGGAUUCCUUGAAUGGGACUUCUCCAUUUACUACCCCUCUCAUUUCCUUCUAUGGUCUGGACCUUUAAACACCACAGCAGUCAGCCUUGUAGGGUCAAGCUAAUCUCUGUUGACAUCAUCCUACUACUUCCCUUUUCAAAUUCCAGUGAAGCUGCGUGUUUCCUGUCCUAUUUGACACCCUCGAGAAAGAAUACUGGCCGGCUGGUAUCUAAAUUUAGACUGGCAGCAACGAGUUUUCAGAGAAGAGAUAAACAAAAACAGGUGACAUUUCCAAGCCUCCCAAGAAAAGGGGAAAAAACCCCAAACCCUUUUGGGGACAGCUUCGGGGGCGUCCCUAAACACAUUCUGGACUCUGCUCGGAAACCCGACGAGCCCGAGCCUGACAGCCCGUCCUCAGCGGGAGCUGUGAAGGCAGCCGCACCUCCUCUUUGUCAAGCCGCGGGUUUCAAACACCGGCCCCGGGCCCCCCACCGGCUGGGAGAGGGCGGACGCCCGCCGCCCUUCCGCGGCCGCCCCUCCCCCACUCUGUGACCCCCGCGGGCCCAGCCCCGGGCGACCUGUUGGCAGGGAGCGUCACGUGACGCGGCGGCCGCACACUCCCCCCGGGCCGGCCUCCUGUUGCGCCCGCCGGGCGGGUUCCAUCACGUAACGCGCGGCCGCCGGCCCG